CCUCCUGUCUCCCUUCUGGUUUCCUGCUGGCUACCCCCAUGGGGGUGGCAGGUGACAGGGGGGACUGGGCCCCUCUUCUUGCAUGACAAAGCCAGCAGGUCAUUUAUUCCAGAGUCCCCGGUGGCUGGUGCAUGUAGGAGAGGAGCGUGGAUGUUGCUUGGGCAGCCCUCCCACGAUCCAGCUGAACAUUUAAAUAACCCACUCUCUGGGGCUCCCACCUCGCCAAUUUAGAAAAACGAUCUGGGAGUGCUCCCCCCAUGCACGAGGACCUGCAGAAACGGGCAUUUAGGCAUGCACUUCUUUAUUUACUUUUUGUUUUUUAAACUGUUUAUGCAAUCCUCUGGUUAAAACGGCCAGCACAGCCCUUGUUCUCCAACCCUGUUGCUUCUUUGUUUAGAAAGCGGUAGUUUAAAAGAGCCCCUCUGUGGGGUCCCCGCUCUGCCUUUCUUCUCAGGUCCCCAGUUCCAAAGCCAGCGUCACUGGAACUGGUGACCAGUUCCAGCCAGGUCACCAGUCUCCCCAAGAACCGAAAGCCGGAAGCCGGCUGCCCCAGCCCCAAAUCCCUGUUCAGGAUCCAAGACUCCCCUUCACCCACUCGAGCUGGAGAUGGAUGACGGAGCUGUUCUCCUGCCGUUUGCUUUAGUAAGAAUAGUAUGGAAGGCGGGAGGAAGGAAGGGAAGAAGAGAGAGAGGUGGAGGGAGGGAGAAGGAAGACUGGAGGAAAAGAAGAGACCCGCCAAGCCUUCCCCGUUUCCCCGCGCUUCCAGGGAGGAUCCGAUGAUAAACACGUUCCCAGGACGGGCGGCUCCGUGCUGGAAUCAGAUCCCACAUCCGGGCUUCUCACAGGUUCUAACCCCUGAACUGGGAAGGAAGUUCUGGGAAAUGUAGUCCCAGCUGCACAGGAAUCCUAGGAAGGAGAUUGGCAGCCCACAGCAACAGCAUAGCC
rnacentral:lncRNA from 1 species